rnacentral:rRNA from 1 species
UUCCGGUUGAUCCUGCCGGACCUGACUGCUAUCGGAUUGAUACUAAGCCAUGCGAGUCAUUGUAGCAAUACAAGGCAGACGGCUCAGUAACGCGUAGUCAACCUAACCUAUGGACGGGAAUAACCUCGGGAAACUGAGAAUAAUGCCCGAUAGAACACUAUACCUGGAAUGGUUUGUGUUCCAAAUGAUUUAUCGCCGUAGGAUGGGACUGCGGCCUAUCAGUUUGUUGGUGAGGUAAUGGCCCACCAAGACUAUUACAGGUACGGGCUCUGAGAGGAGUAGCCCGGAGAUGGGUACUGAGACACGGACCCAGGCCCUAUGGGGCGCAGCAGGCGAGAAAACUUUGCAAUGUGCGAAAGCACGACAAGGUUAAUCCGAGUGAUUUGUGCUAAACGAAUCUUUUGUUAGUCCUAGAACCACUAACGAAUAAGGGGUGGGCAAGUUCUGGUGUCAGCCGCCGCGGUAAAACCAGCACCUCAAGUGGUCAGGAUGAUUAUUGGGCCUAAAGCAUCCGUAGCCGGCUCUGUAAAUUUUCGGUUAAAUCUGUACGCUUAACGUACAGGCUGCCGGGAAUACUGCAGAGCUAGGGAGUGGGAGAGGUAGACGGUACUCGGUAGGAAGGGGUAAAAUCCUUUGAUCUAUUGAUGACCACCUGUGGCGAAGGCGGUCUACCAGAACACGCCCGACGGUGAGGGAUGAAAGCUGGGGGAGCAAACCGGAUUAGAUACCCGGGUAGUCCCAGCUGUAAACUAUGCAAACUCAGUGAUGCAUUGACUUGUGGUCAAUGCAGUGCUGCAGGGAAGCCGUUAAGUUUGCCGCCUGGGAAGUACGUACGCAAGUAUGAAACUUAAAGGAAUUGGCGGGGGAGCACCACAAGGGGUGAAGCCUGCGGUUCAAUUGGAUUCAACGCCGGA